rnacentral:lncRNA from 1 species
AUGCACCCCGGCCGGAAGUUGCUAGGAAGCAGCGAUGGCGCCGGGUCCCGAUGCUCUGCUGGGCCAGGCGGAGGCCAGGGGCUCCAUCCGGGUCUCCUCGUCGGGCGGGAGCCCAGGUACCUGCUCCUCCCAGGAUGCACCCCGACCGGAAGUUGCCAGGAAGCAGCGAUGGCGCCGGGUCCCCAUGCUCUGCUGGGCCAGGCGGAGACCAGGGGCUCCAUCCGGGUCUCCUCGUCGGGCGGGAGCCCAGGUACCUGCUCCUCCCAGGAUGCACCCCGGCCGGAAGUUGCUAGGAAGCAGCGAUGGCGCCGGGUCCCCGAUGCUCUGCAGUCGGACGCGCGGGUCCGGGCUGGGGCUUCGCCACUGCACCGCCCUCCCACCCUCAGAUCCGCGUGUGCUCCGGGCAACCUGGGCGCCAAGGCAGUGCAGCCGCGCCCCGCCUCACGUGCGCGCCGCGUGCCUGGGCCACAGGAAAGCGGCCGUGGCGCGCGCGGCGCUCCGCGAACCCCGGCCUCCGUGGGCGCGCCCCCGCCUCGGCCCGGUGCCCCUCGCUGCCCCAGACCUGCGCUGCGCCCGCUCCCUGGGCUCCUCCGAGCCUUCCUCCUCGGCCUGGGUCUGGCUGAGGAGCCUCGCACCGGAGGCGGAGGCCGGGUUUGGGGGAAGGACACGAGUGGGGAGUGCCUUUCGCGUCACGUGGCAGGGCAGGGGCCCGAGUGGCCUGCUAGGCGUGCCCCGGGAGCUUCGGCCCGUCGGGCCUGCGGCGCUGGUCAGGCAGCCAUGGAGGACAGGCGGCUCCCCGCGGGUCCCACUGCGUGUGCUCCAGGGAGGAACCGGGACGCAGCGGCUUCCAGAGGCCGGGGAGCCGGGAUCGGCCGGCCCGAGGGCCCAGGCUCCCCCGGGCCUCCUGGGCCGAGCCCAGCACAAACCGGGAACUGGGCCCCCCGCAGGGACCUUCCCCCACGGGUGACCUUGGCAGAGCCCUGCGCUGGCACGGCCACUCCGGGUGGUCGAGCCGGGCUCCCAGGCCCUGCCCGUCUGCGUGGAGAGGCCUUUGAUGGCUGA